ACGCUGGUGGCAUGCUUAACACAUGCAAGUCGAACGGUAACAGGUCUUCGGAUGCUGACGAGUGGCGGACGGGUGAGUAACGCGUAGGAAUCUGCCCAUCUGUGGGGGAUACCAGUUGGAAACGACUGUUAAUACCGCAUAAUAUCUGCGGAUUAAAGGUGGCCUUUGUGCUGCCGCAGAUGGAUGAGCCUGCGUUGGAUUAGCUAGUUGGUAGGGUAAGGGCCUACCAAGGCUACGAUCCAUAGCUGAUUUGAGAGGAUGAUCAGCCACAUUGGGACUGAGACACGGCCCAAACUCCUACGGGAGGCAGCAGUGGGGAAUAUUGGACAAUGGGGGAAACCCUGAUCCAGCAAUGCCAUGUGUGUGAAGAAGGCUCUAGGGUUGUAAAGCACUUUAGUUGGGGAGGAAAGCCUAUAAGUUAAUAGCUUGUAGGAAGGACGUUACCCAAAGAAUAAGGACCGGCUAACUCCGUGCCAGCAGCCGCGGUAAUACGGGGGGUCCGAGCGUUAAUCGGAAUUACUGGGCGUAAAGGGUCUGUAGGUGGUUUGUUAAGUCAGAUGUGAAAGCCCAGGGCUCAACCUUGGAACUGCAUUUGAUACUGGCAAACUAGAGUAUGGUAGAGGAAUGGGGAAUUUCUGGUGUAGCGGUGAAAUGCGUAGAGAUCAGAAGGAACACCAAUGGCGAAGGCAACAUUCUGGAUCAAUACUGACACUGAGGGACGAAAGCGUGGGGAUCAAACAGGAUUAGAUACCCUGGUAGUCCACGCUGUAAACGAUGAGUACUAGCUGUUGGAUUCGGUGUAAAGGAUCUAGUGGCGCAGCUAACGCGUUAAGUACUCCGCCUGGGGACUACGGCCGCAAGGCUAAAACUCAAAGGAAUUGACGGGGACCCGCACAAGCGGUGGAGCAUGUGGUUUAAUUCGAUGCAACGCGAAGAACCUUACCUGGUCUUGACAUCCUGCGAACUUUCUAGAGAUAGAUUGGUGCCUUCGGGAACGCAGUGACAGGUGCUGCACGGCUGUCGUCAGCUCGUGUUGUGAAAUGUUGGGUUAAGUCCCGCAACGAGCGCAACCCCUAUUGAUAGUUACCAUCAUUAAGUUGGGUACUCUAUUGAGACUGCCGCUGACAAGGCGGAGGAAGGUGGGGACGACGUCAAGUCAUCAUGGCCCUUACGACCAGGGCUACACACGUGCUACAAUGGGUAUUACAGAGGGCUGCGAAGGUGCGAGCUGGAGCGAAACUCAGAAAGGUACUCUUAGUCCGGAUUGCAGUCUGCAACUCGACUGCAUGAAGUCGGAAUCGCUAGUAAUCGCAGGUCAGAAUACUGCGGUGAAUACGUUCCCGGGUCUUGUACACACCGCCCGUCACACCAUGGGAGUGGGUUGCUCCAGAAGUAGAUAGUUUAACGAAUGGGCGUUUACCACGGAGUGAUUCAUGACUGGGGUGAAGUCGUAACAAGGUAGCCGUAGGGGAACCUGCGGCUGGAUCACCUCCUUA
rnacentral:rRNA from 1 species